UCAUUGAAUGGCUGACAUAAAGCAAUGGUCUCUUAAACCACUUCAUAGUAUUUCUUACUUUCAAUGAA
rnacentral:tRNA from 2 species